rnacentral:rRNA from 1 species
AGUGAACGCUGGCGGUAGGCCUAACACAUGCAAGUCGAACGGCAGCACAGUAAGAGCUUGCUCUUACGGGUGGCGAGUGGCGGACGGGUGAGGAAUACAUCGGAAUCUACUUUUUCGUGGGGGAUAACGUAGGGAAACUUACGCUAAUACCGCAUACGACCUACGGGUGAAAGCAGGGGAUCUUCGGACCUUGCGCGAUUGAAUGAGCCGAUGUCGGAUUAGCUAGUUGGCGGGGUAAAGGCCCACCAAGGCGACGAUCCGUAGCUGGUCUGAGAGGCUGGUCAGCCACACUGGAACUGAGACACGGUCCAGGCUCCUACGGGAGGCAGCAGUGGGGAAUAUUGGACAAUGGGCGCAAGCCUGAUCCAGCCAUACCGCGUGGGUGAAGAAGGCCUUCGGGUUGUAAAGCCCUUUUGUUGGGAAAGAAAAGCAGCAGGUUAAUACCCCGCUGUUCUGACGGUACCCAAAGAAUAAGCACCGGCUAACUUCGUG